UACGGAGGGUGCGAGCGUUGUCCGGAAUCAUUGGGCGUAAAGGGCGCGUAGGUGGCCACUUCAAGCGUGCGGUGAAAGUCCGGGGGCUCAACUCCGGAUCUGCGGUGGGUACGGGCAGACUAGAGUGCAGUAGGGGAGACUGGAAUUCCUGGUGUAGCGGUGAAAUGCGCAGAUAUCAGGAGGAACACCGAUGGCGAAGGCAGGUCUCUGGGCUGUAACUGACGCUGAGGAGCGAAAGCAUGGGGAGCGAACAGG
rnacentral:rRNA from 1 species